AGAUGUGUACAUCUGGAGGCUCCUUGGGGAGGUGGCACAGGACCUGGGACUGAAGAGGGAGAGUAGAGGAACAAAGGGACCCUUUCCUUGGGGAACAAGGAAAGUGCACGUAGGAGGCCCAGCACGUGCGGAGGUGGAGCAGCAUGAAAGCGUACAGCCGCCCCCCAUCUGUCCUGCCCUUGUGUGCCUCUGUGUCUUUGCUGGGUGGCCUGACCUUUGGUUAUGAACUGGCAGUCAUAUCAGGUGCCCUGCUGCCACUGCAGCUUGACUUUGGGCUAAGCUGCUUGGAGCAGGAGUUCCUGGUGGGCAGCCUGCUCCUGGGGGCUCUUCUCGCCUCCCUGGUUGGUGGCUUCCUCAUUGACUGCUAUGGCAGGAAGCAAGCCAUCCUCGGGAGCAACUUGGUGCUGCUGGCAGGCAGCCUGACCCUGGGCCUGGCUGGUUCCCUGGCCUGGCUGGUCCUGGGCCGCUCUGUGGUUGGCUUUGCCAUUUCCCUCUCCUCCAUGGCCUGCUGUAUCUACGUGUCAGAGCUGGUGGGGCCACGGCAGCGGGGAGUGCUGGUGUCCCUCUAUGAGGCAGGCAUCACCGU
rnacentral:sRNA from 1 species